rnacentral:rRNA from 1 species
GCUUACGGCCAUACCAGCCUGAAAACGCCCGAUCUCGUCAGAUCUCGGAAGCUAAGCAGGGUCGGGCCUGGUUAGUACUUGGAUGGGAGACUUCCUGGGAAUACCAGUUGCUGUAAGCA